rnacentral:rRNA from 1 species
GGCUUAGAGUUUGAUCAUGGCUCAGGAUAAACGCUGGCGGCGCACAUAAGACAUGCAAGUCGGACGGACUUAAUCGAAAUAUUUAUAUUUUGAAGCGGUUAGUGGCGGACUGGUGAGUAACGCGUAAGGAACCUGCCUGUUAGAGGGGAAUAACAGUGAGAAAUCAUUGCUAAUACCGCAUAUGCCAUAGUUACCACAUGGUAAUAGUGGGAAAGGAGCAAUCCGCUGACAGAUGGCCUUGCGUCUGAUUAGAUAGUUGGUGGGGUAACGGCCUACCAAGUCGACGAUCAGUAGCCGGACUGAGAGGUUGAACGGCCACAUUGGGACUGAGAUACGGCCCAGACUCCUACGGGAGGCAGCAGUCGGGAAUAUUGCGCAAUGGAGGAAACUCUGACGCAGUGACGCCGCGUAUAGGAAGAAGGUUUUCGGAUUGUAAACUAUUGUCGUUAGGGAAGAGAAAGGACAGUACCUAAGGAGGAAGCUCCGGCUAACUACGUGCCAGCAGCCGCGGUAAUACGUAGGGAGCGAGCGUUAUCCGGAAUUAUUGGGUGUAAAGGGUGCGUAGACGGGAGAACAAGUUAGUUGUGAAAUACCUCGGCUCAACUGAGGAACUGCAACUAAAACUGUACUUCUUGAGUGCAGGAGAGGUAAGUG